rnacentral:rRNA from 1 species
UUGAAAGGGAAACGAUUGAAGUCAGUCAUACCAACGGGAAAUCAACCUUUUGAGCUCGGUCUCGUGGGUUUUGAAGAGUUUCAAAGCCUUCGGAUUCGCGGGAUUGGGAUCUCUUGGUGUACUUUUUCGUACGGUUAGUCAACAUCGGUUUUGAAUGUCAUAAAAUGACUGAAGGAAUGUAGCUUCGACCUUGUAUUGAAGUGUUAUAGCCUUUGGUAGAUGUGAUGUUUGAGACCGAGGAUUGCAACGGAUACCCUUCAGGGCUAUUCGUCUGAUCUCGGAUCCGUUGCCUUGAUGUUGAAAGCUUGCUUAUGAUGUUAGGGUAUUACGGUCAAAAGGUUAGAACGAAUUAGAUUCGUUAAGGAUGUUGACGUA